GAUGAACGCUAGCGGCAGGCCUAAUACAUGCAAGUCGAACGAGAUUAAGAGGCUUGCUUCUUAUGAAAGUGGCGCACGGGUGCGUAACGCGUAUGCAACCUACCUUAAUCAGGGGGAUAGCCCGAAGAAAUUCGGAUUAAGACCGCAUAAAAACACAGGAUAGCAUUAUCCAAUGUUCAAAUAUUUAUAGGAUUAAGAUGGGCAUGCGUGUCAUUAGCUAGUUGGCGGGGUAACGGCCCACCAAGGCGACGAUGACUAGGGGAUCUGAGAGGAUGACCCCCCACAUGGGUACGGAGCCACGGACCAGACCCCUACGGGAGGAAGCAGAAGGGAAUAUGGAUCAAUGGAGGGAACUCUGACCCACCCAUGCCGGGGGCAGGAAGACACCCCUCGGGGUCGAAACCUGUUUUUAUUGGGGAAUAACCCUUUCUACGUGUAGGAAGAUGAAGGAACCGAAGAAAAAAGAUCCGGCUACCCCCGUG
rnacentral:rRNA from 1 species